AGAGUUUGAUCCUGGCUCAGGACGAACGCUGGCGGCGUGCUUAACACAUGCAAGUCGAACGGUCCAUUCUGGUUCGCUGGAAUGGAUAGUGGCGGACGGGUGAGUAACGCGUGGGUAACCUACCCAUAAAACUGGGACAACUCUGGGAAACUGGAGCUAAUACCAGAUACGCUCGUGAGGUGGCAUCGCCUUACGAGGAAAGGUGGCCUCUGAAUAUGCUGCCGAUUAUGGAUGGACCCGCGUCUGAUUAGCUAGUUGGUGAGGUAACGGCUCACCAAGGCGACGAUCAGUAGCCGGCCUGAGAGGGUGGCCGGCCACACUGGGACUGAGACACGGCCCAGACUCCUACGGGAGGCAGCAGUGGGGAAUAUUGCGCAAUGGGCGAAAGCCUGACGCAGCAACGCCGCGUGAGUGAAGACGGCCUUCGGGUUGUAAAGCUCUGUCUUCUUGGACGAAGCUCCGAAAUGUAAAUAGCAUAUCGGGAUGACGGUACAAGAGGAGGAAGCCCCGGCUAACUACGUGCCAGCAGCCGCGGUAAAACGUAGGGGGCGAGCGUUGUCCGGAAUUACUGGGCGUAAAGCGCGUGUAGGCGGGUUUAUAAGUCGGGUGUGAAAACUCUGGGCUCAACCCAGAGACUGCAUCCGAAACUGUAGAUCUUGAGGGCGGGAGAGGAAAGUGGAAUUCCUAGUGUAGCGGUGAAAUGCGUAGAUAUUAGGAGGAACACCAGUGGCGAAGGCGGCUUUCUGGCCCGAACCUGACGCUGAGACGCGAAAGCGUGGGGAGCAAACAGAAAGAGAUACCCUGGUAGUCCACGCCGUAAACG
rnacentral:rRNA from 1 species